UACGGGGGGGGGCUAGUGUUACUCAUCAUUACUGGGUGUAAAGCGUAUGUAGGCUGUUUAUUAAGUUUAAAUUAUGACAAUCCAAGCUUAACUUGGAAAAUUUUUUUUUUUUUAUACUGUUAAACUAGAGAUCUAAAGAGGAUAGCUAUAUUUCUGAAGUUUAGGGAUGAAAUCCUUAGAGAUCAGGGGGAUAACCAGCAGGCGAAGGCGGCUUUCCAUAAAGAUUCUGACGCUGAAGUUCUUAAGCGUGGGUCGCAAACGGG
rnacentral:rRNA from 1 species